UUUGUCUCCAACUCCAUGUGGCUUGCACCUGUACGUGACAAGUCUGGAAUCACAUACUCUCUUCUCUGCCAGCCUAUCUACACUUGGAACUCUGCGUGAGCUUUGGGCUGCACCUGAACCAGGAGGCACACGCUAUUCACAUGUGUGUGCGUCCAGCCCAAGCCUGCGUUCAUCUGGAUGGAUCCUCUCCGCAUGGCUUUUGCCCCCAGUGGCUGCGAGAGGCUGUAAUUGGCAAGGAGCACAGAGCCAGUAGCUGGAAGCCAAGAUACCACUGGAGCUCUCUGAUCCCGUUCUUACAGCUUUCCUGGGUCAGCAACACUUUGGAUGGAUCAACCCAUUCUCUACCUUGAUAAAAUCUUGAACACUGAAUGAAUUAAAAGUAUUGUUUCCUUAGUAAAGCUUUCAAAGCCUCCCUUAUAGCACCUCUAUCUAGCUAUCAUGCUGCCUUUUUGAUCUUGUUGUCUAACUGCCUUUGUGUAAAUGUCUUCAUCUUUUUGUCUUCUAGUUUGCAGUGGGUGAACAAACAGAUGCACUGCAGAUGUGUCCUCUGUGCUAUGCCUAAGCUCUUGUCUUGCUUGUGCUACAAAUAACUUUCUUUACAUCACAACCUUCCUAUAUUGUUCCUUACAAUGCAUUUGCUUAUGUGAGGUCCUGAGAUUCAGUUAAGUGAUCACAAUUGUUAUUAUAUUAUAUUGUAUACUACCACAUAGCACUACAAAUUGGCAGCAAGUCGGGGUCUCUAGUCACUUAGUCAUGUGGGUUCACUGGUCCACAAGCUUUGCCCUUUAUGACUGUGUUUUCUAUUUGCAUUGACUAUAUUGUUGUAAUCUUUUGAAUAAUGUUGUCAGUCAAAGUGGAGGGCAGAUGUGCUCA
rnacentral:lncRNA from 1 species